rnacentral:lncRNA from 1 species
GCACUGUGAGGCUCUAUGAGGUGCUAUGGGGCACUAUGAAAUGCUGUGGGGCGCUAUGAGGUGCUAUGGGGUGCUAUGGGGCACUAUGGGGCACUAUGUAGCGCUAUGGGGCGCUAUGGGGUGCUAUGGGGGGCUAUGGGGUGCUAUGGGGCGCUAUGGGGCACUAUGGGAUGUUACAGAGCACUAUGGGGCGCUAUGGGGUGCCAUGGGGCACUGUGGGCGCUAUGGGGCACUAUGGGAUGUUAUUGGGCACUAUGGGGCACUAUGGGGUGCUAUGGGAGCUAUGGGGCGCUAUGGGGCGCUAUGGAAUGUGAUAGGGUUAGGAGCACUAUGGGGCGCUAUGGGUGCUAUGGGCGCUAUGGGGCAGUGCUAUGGGGCGCUAUUGGGGCUAUGGGGCACUAUGGGCACUAUGGGGCGCUAUAGGCGCUAUGGGGCAGUGCUAUGAGUGCUAUGGGGCGCUACGGGGCAGUGUUGUGGGCGCUAUGGGGCAGUGCUAUGGGCGCUAUGGGGCCGGGCUUUGGGGCNNNNNNNNNNNNNNNNNNNNNNNNNNNNNNNNNNNNNNNNNNNNNNNNNNNNNNNNNNNNNNNNNNNNNNNNNNNNNNNNNNNNNNNNNGGUUGGGGGCGCUAUGGGGCAGUGCUAUGGGCGCUAUGGGGCAGUGCUUUGGGGCGCUAUGGGGCAGUGCUAUGGGCGCUAUGGGGCAGUGCUUUGGGGCGCUAUGGGGCAGUGCUAUGGGCGCUAUGGGGCAGUGCUUUGGGGCGCUAUGGGGCAGUGCUUUGGGGCGCUAUGGGGCAGUGCUAUGGGCGCUAUGGGGUGCUAUGGGGCAGUGCUCUGGGCGCUCUGGGGCGCUGUGUGCCUGGCCUGCAGCUCCGCGCUGCCGGUUCCCGGCUGUGGCUCCUGCCGACAUUUUCCUCCUCCCCCGUUUCCCCUCUGCUUCCUCCUUCCUGUUUCCCCGUCCUCUUCCUCCUCUGUCCGUUUUCCUCCUCACGUUUCCCUUCCUUUCCCUUUCCCUUUUCCUCUCACUUCCCCCUCCCUCUUCCUUUCCCUUUUCCUCUCCCUUCCCCUCCUUCUCCUCCUUCCCCUCUUGCCCUUCCUUUUCCUUUUCCUUUUCCUUUUCCUUUUCCUUUUCCUUUUCCUUUUCCUUUUCCUUUUCCUUUUCCUCCUUCUUUACCUUUUUCUCUUCCUUUUCCAUUUCCCUUUUCCUGUUUCCUGUUUCCUUUUUCUCUCCCUCUCUUUUUCCUUUUCCUUUUCCCUUUCUCUCUCACCUUCGCUUUCCUGCUUCCUCUUCUUUUUCCUUUUUGUCUUCCUCUUCCUCUUUCUUUUGGUGUAUCUCUUCCUCUUCUAUCCCUUUUCUUCCUUUUCCCUUCCCCUUCCUUUCCUCUUUCUUUUUCCGUUUUCCUUUUGCCUUUUCCUUUGCCUUUUCCUUUUCCCUUUUGUCUUCCACUCCCUUUCCUUUCCCCUUUUCCCUUUUCCCGUUUUCCUUUUUCCUUUUACUUUCCAUUUCUUUUUCCCUCCUCCACUUCUUUUUCCUUUUUGUCUUCCUCUUUUUCUUUCCCAAUAUCUCCUCUUCCUUUUUCCUUUUUCCUUUUUCCUUUUUCCUUUUUCCUUUUUCCUUUUUCCUUUUUCUCCUUUUCUCUUCCAUUUCCUUCUCCAUCUCCUUUUCCCUUUUCUCCUCCCUUUCCCCUUCCAUCUCCCUCUUCCUCCUCCUUUCCCAUUUCCUUUUCCCUUUCCACUUCUUCCUUCCCCUUUUCCCUUUCCGACUUUCCCUCUUUGUCCUUUUGUCUUCCCCUCCCCUUCCCUCCCGUUCCGGCAGACAUCACGCACCCCAUCCCGGAUCUCACGGGCUUCAUCACAGAGGGGCAGAUCUACGUGGAUCGGCAGCUGCACAACCGCCAGUACGCGUGCUACGCCAUCGGGAAGGACGUGCAGGCCAUGAAGGCGGUGGUGGGGGAGGAGGCGCUGUCGGCGGACGACCUGCUGUACCUGGAGUUCCUGCACAAAUUCGAGCGCCACUUCAUCGCUCAGGGUGCGCCGCGGGGGGGUCGGGGAGCGCGGCCUU